AGCGUUUCUAUCUUCGGUGUGCAAAUGGAGAUGCUGCUGUCAGGGCUCAGCCCACGGGGGUGUUGUACGGCUGCAAAGAAGAGGAUGGACUCAAAGUGUCACUGCGCAGUGCGACUGCUGAGACUGUGGGGUGAAAGCAUGCUGGAUUGGAGAUGCUGGGAGAAAGCACAAGCAGUCCGUCAAGAUGAGGUAGGAGGGAUGGCAGUAACAGAAGAGCACAGCUGAAUCUCAAGAUCUUGAGCCAGGGUAGCAGGAGUUUGAGCAUUUAAAUAUGCCUUUGCCAUGCUGGAGCAUUCCAAGCAGUGUGUGCUUCAAAUUUGGAAAGGCCGUGUAGGAUUUCAGUGCAUCAGCUCAGCCUGGAGGACAAGAGGACACAGGCCCUCAGAGCAAGGAGAGCCCUUCCCCAUGGGCUGCUGGUGACUGCUCCACGGAUGGUGGCACUGAGUGCAGUGGAGAUAACAUCUACAACUGGAAGAGCUCACAGUACUGCUGUGUUAAAGAACAAAGGUGGCCAUGACUGUUCCCAGGCAGCAGCCAGAGCAUGCAGGUAACCAAAAGUCUGCCUCACUCCCUCCUCAGCAGCAAGGCUGAUGACCAGGACAUGGCUAUUGCAUUCAGGAAGCAGUUUUCCUUCCUCUUAUUGGAAUCAUUCACAAAAGCACAGCAUCACUACCUCAGAAGCUGAGAGCUCCAAGAGCCCCGAUAUGUCGUCCUCUAUUUCAGACAGCGACUGGUUGAGGAUAGCAGCUGCCUGGGCCACAUCUGGAU